GACGAACGCUGGCGGCGUGCUUAACACAUGCAAGUCGAACGGAAAGGCCCUUCGGGGUACUCGAGUGGCGAACGGGUGAGUAACACGUGGGUGAUCUGCCCUGCACUUUGGGAUAAGCCUGGGAAACUGGGUCUAAUACCGAAUAGGACCACGCGCUUCAUGGUGUGUGGUGGAAAGCUUUUGCGGUGUGGGAUGGGCCCGCGGCCUAUCAGCUUGUUGGUGGGGUAAUGGCCUACCAAGGCGACGACGGGUAGCCGGCCUGAGAGGGUGACCGGCCACACUGGGACUGAGAUACGGCCCAGACUCCGACGGGAGGCAGCAGUGGGGAAUAUUGCACAAUGGGCGCAAGCCUGAUGCAGCGACGCCGCGUGAGGGAUGACGGCCUUCGGGUUGUAAACCUCUUUCAAUAGGGACGAAGCGCAAGUGACGGUACCUAUAGAAGAAGCACCGGCCAACUACGUG
rnacentral:rRNA from 1 species